rnacentral:tRNA from 1 species
GCGCCGGUGGUGUAAUGGCGUAAAGCAUUCCCGCCCGGUCAGAAGGAGGUGCGGGUUCGAGUCCCGCCUGGCGCU